rnacentral:rRNA from 1 species
ACACGUGGGUAAUCUGCCCUCGAUUCUGGGAUAGCCCGGGGAAACCCGGAUUAAUACCGGAUAGCCUCUCGAGCUUUCGAGCUCGUGAGAAAAGGUAGCUUCGGCCUCCGAUCGAGGAUGAGCCCGCGGCGGAUUAGCUUGUUGGUGGGGUAAUGGCCUACCAAGGCGACGAUCCGUAGCUGGUCUGAGAGGACGAUCAGCCACACUGGGACUGAGACACGGCCCAGACUCCUACGGGAGGCAGCAGUGGGGAAUCUUGCGCAAUGGGCGAAAGCCUGACGCAGCGACGCCGCGUGGGGGAAGAAGGCCUUCGGGUUGUAAACCUCUUUCAGCAGGGACGAAGCCACUCGGGUUAAUAGCCCAGAGGGUGACGGUACCUGCAGAAGAAGCCCCGGCUAACUACGUGCCAGCAGCCGCGGUAAUACGUAGGGGGCAAGCGUUGUCCGGAUUUAUUGGGCGUAAAGAGCGUGUAGGCGGCCAGAUAGGUCGGUUGUGAAAACUGGAGGCUUAACCUUCAGACGUCGACCGAAACCAUUUGGCUAGAGUCCGGAAGAGGAGAAUGGAAUUCCUGGUGUAGCGGUGAAAUGCGCAGAUAUCAGGAAGAGCACCCGUGGCUAAGGCGGUUCUCUAGUACGGUACUGACGCUGA